rnacentral:rRNA from 1 species
UACGGAGGGUGCGAGCGUUGUCCGGAAUCACUGGGCGUAAAGGGCGCGUAGGCGGCCUGAUAAGUAGGGGGUGAAAUCCUGCGGCUUAACCGCAGGGCUGCCUUCUAAACUGUCAGGCUGGAGCACAGUAGAGGCAGGUGGAAUUCCCGGUGUAGCGGUGGAAUGCGUAGAGAUCGGGCAGAACAUCAGUGGCGAAGGCGGCCUGCUGGGCUGUUGCUGACGCUGAGGCGCGACAGCGUGGGGAGCAAACAGG